AUGAUGUGGAUUAAUUCGAUGCAACGCGAAAAACCUUACCUACCCUUGACAUGUCUGGAACCUUGGUGAGAGCCGAGGGUGCCUUCGGGAGCCAGAACACAGGUGCUGCAUGGCUGUCGUCAGCUCGUGUCGUGAGAUGUUGGGUUGAGUCCCGCAACGAGCGCAACCCCUAUUGUUAGUUGCCAUCAUUCAGUUGGGCACUCUAGCGAGACUGCCAGUAAUAAACCGGAGGAAGGUGGGGAUGACGUCAAAUCAUCAUGCCCCUUAUGACCUGGGCUACACACGUGCUACAAUGGUUGGUACAACGAGUUGCGAGUCGGUGACGGCGAGCUAAUCUCUUAAAGCCAAUCUCAGUUCGGAUUGUAGGCUGCAACUCGCCUACAUGAAGUCGGAAUCGCUAGUAAUCGCGGAUCAGCACGCCGCGGUGAAUACGUUCCCGGGCCUU
rnacentral:rRNA from 1 species